GACGAACCGUGCGAACGUUGUUCGGAAUCACUGGGCUUAAAGGGCGCGUAGGCGGGCCGGAUAGUCUGUGGUGAAAGCCUCCAGCUUAACUGGAGAAGUGCCGUGGAUAGCUGCCGGUCUUGAGGAAGGUAGGGGCAUCUGGAACGCUGGGUGGAGCGGUGAAAUGCGUUGAUAUCCAGCGGAACUCCGGUGGCGAAGGCGAGGUGCUGGACCUUUUCUGACGCUGAUGCGCGAAAGCCAGGGGAGCAAACGGG
rnacentral:rRNA from 1 species